ACGCUCGACACCUACGGGAGGCNGCAGUGGGGAAUAUUGCACAAUGGGGGAAACCCUGAUGCAGCGACGCCGCGUGGAGGAAGAAGGUCUUCGGAUUGUAAACUCCUGUUGUUGGGGAAAAAGAGGAUGGUACCCAACAAGGAAGUGACGGCUAACUACGUGCCAGCAGUCGGGUAAUCUGAGCGGGCUGGCAAGGC
rnacentral:rRNA from 1 species